GAAAUAAAGACUACAUAUCUUUGCAUUCCCCUGUUUAUUAACCUACUCAAAGACAAAAUAAGAGAUUACUAUGCACGUGCAUUUGAUCCCUAAAGAGCUACAGAAGACACAGCAAUCAUCUCAACAGAAAAUCCAGGCAAAAGAAAAUAACAGAAUUUAAACAAGCUAUGGAGUCCUUGACAAAUUCAGAGCAGGUAGUGAUGGAAGACACUGAAAAGGUCUUUGAGGAGCUGGUCCGUAUGGUUAAGGAGAGGUGCUCUGAAGUGAAAGAAGUUAUCAGAACCCAGAAGAAAGCUGAACUAAGUCAGGCAAGAACACUUUUAGAUCAGCUUCAUCAGGAGAUUGCAGAGCUACGGAAGAAAAACUCAGAACUGGAAGAGCUUUCACAGAUCGAAGAUCACCUAGAUUUCCUGCAGUCUCAAAAGUGUAGACAAGCCUGUCAUUCCGUGUUCCCUAUGAGCCUAAAGUUGUACCUGGGACAAACAUUAACCCCCAAGCUUCAUUUGAGAAGGUCCAGCCAUGUCUCGCUGAACUGAGGAAAAACAUGGAGGGUCUUUUGACUAUGGAGUUUAGGAACAUAUCUGAUAUCAUAAAGAGAGACCAUAUUGUACAAGCAGCACCAAAAGAAGAGCCAUAUGCAGUACCCACAACGGGAGAGAGCCUGUUGAGAUAUGCCUCUCACCUUAUACUGGACUCAAAUACAAUUCAAGGACAAGUCUGCCUGGUGAAUAUAGGAAGAGGCAUAUCAUCUAAUUUUGUACAGUCAUCAAGCCAUCCCUUUUCGGGAAAUGGUGGUUUCAGCUUUGGGAGUUCUGCCUUUGGGACAGGUGGACUGAGUAAAGGGAGUGCUGUUGAUCAGAUGUUAGCUUAUAAAAACUAUGGCCAUGUGUUAUGUGCAGGGAGGUUGUCUGGUCACAGUUAUUGGGAGGCUGAGUGGUCUGAAAGUAAUGCCGAGGUAAUCAUGGCUGUCACAUACACAGGCUCCGGCAGGCUCGGAGAAGACUUAAUGUCCUGGGCCUUGCUGUGCUCUCACUCAGGCUAUAGCUUUCAGCACAACAAUGUAAAAACUCAACUUACUACCUUACCAGGUGGGAUAUCCCUUUUUGGAGCAAAACUGUUCACCAAAGUUGGUAUAUAUCUGGAUUUUGAUGCCGAAAUUCUGGCUUUUUAUACAGUCUCUGAUAGAAUUUCCCUUCUUCAUAAAGUUCAGACCUCUUUCACUCAGGCUGUCUACCCUGCUUUUGGUAUGACGGGGACUGGCAGUGGCACCUGUACUCUCAGUUCAACUGUCCCAAGUAUGUUUGGGGUGGGUGGGUUAUUCGGCAAUUAAGCAAAAUCAUUGUUUCUAAAUUGAGUUGACAACAGUCAAAUAAAGCCACAGAUCUUGGAAAA